AUGAAGACAUUUGCUGGAUCUUUGUUCCUGUUUUUGUGGCUGCAGCUGGACUGUAUGAGUAGAGGAGAGGAUGUGGAGCAGAGUCUUUUCCUGAGUGUCCAAGAGGGAGACAGCUCCAUCAUAAAAUGCACUUACACAGACAGCUCCUCCACCUCCUUAUAUUGGUAUAAGCAAGAACCUGGAGCAGGUCUCCAGUUGCUGACGUAUAUUUUUUCAAAUAUGGACAUGAAACAAGACCAAAGACUCACUGUUCUAUUGAAUAAGAAGGAUAAACAUCUGUCUCUGCGCAUUGCAGACACCCAGACUGGGGACUCAGCUAUCUACUUCUGUGCAGAGAGUACACAUUGCUUCUCAGGCACCUGUAUCCUGUACCCAAACCUGCACCUGGGACUAAAGCCACACUCUAUUUCCUUUACCUUUAAGUCAGGGAUUUUGCUGUAUUGUAUUUUUAAUGUACGGACAUUACAAAACAUCCUAAAAGGUCAGUUUCAAAAUGACUUAAUAAUUUUCAGAAUAUUUUGA